UUUUGUAAGGGAAUAAAGUGCACCACGUGUGCUGUUUUGUAUGUACUUUACCAAUAAGGAUCGGCUAACUCCAUGCCAGCGGCCGCGGUAAUACGGAGGAUCCGAGCGUUAUCCGGAUUUAUUGGGUUUAAAGGGUGCGCAGGCGGACCCGUAAGUCAAUGGUGAAAGUUUGCAUCUUAACUGUAAAAUUGCCAUUGAAACUACGGAUCUUGAGUGUAAAUGAGGUAGGCGGAAUGUGUUGUGUAGCGGUGAAAUGCUUAGAUAUAACACAGAACACCAAUUGCGAAGGCAACUUACUGGGAUACAACUGACGCUCAGGCACGAAAGCGUGGGGAUCAAACAGGAUUAGAUACCCUGGUAGUCCACGCAGUAAACGAUGAAUACUAACUGUAUGCGAUAUAUUGUAUGUGGUAAACCGAAAGCGUUAAGUAUUCCACCUGGGGAGUACGUUCGCAAGAAUGAAACUCAAAUGAAUUUGACGG
rnacentral:rRNA from 1 species